UCCACCACCACCACCAUCAUUUACUACCCACCACUGACCACCACCACCUUAUCACCCCUCAAAUCAAUCUCCACCCCAAACUCCUCCCUGUUCCUUCGACCAAAACCGGCCCGCAGUGCCGCGUUUCCUCACCCCCUUUUCGUCUCUCUUCCACGCCACCUAGUGCCACACCACCACUCCGCAACCACCUCCGCCGUCUCCCCAAACCGUCCCCAAUCCAUAUGGACUGUGAACCACCCCUUCCCCGCCCAGAAUUGACCGAAAAACACCCCUCAAACUCCCCUGCCUCCCUCGUCUUUUCCCUCUGCCGCACCACCCAACCUCGCCGCCACCACUUCCCAGCCACCGCACCACCCCUCUAUUAAAUUUCCGCCCCCAAAUACUCCGGCGAACCAUUGUUCCGCCACCCAAAACCACCCAGAAAAUCAAACACAAAACUCCCCUGCUUCUCACCCAAAAUCGCGCUCCUCCUUCUCUCUCUCGCUGCUCCGACGCCGCGAACCACCCACCGCCGCUGUUGCCUUCACCGGCGCAAUUCAGCGGCACCGAGCCACUCAGCCGCCUCCUCCCUUCCCUCUUCUCUCCCCUUCGUGCUCCCUUGUGCCCCUCCCCUGCUUCCCUUGUUAUUUUUCGAGAUUCCCAGGAAACCAAAAUCCCAUUUGGUUUUUGCUGCUUUUAAUCUCUUGAACCAUUAUCCAAAUUAAGCCCAACCCUUUGUUUUGGCCCAAAUACCCCAAAAAAUCAGACUCGGAGCUCAGGACGAACGAACCAAGGAAAAAGGCCUAGCAAUCAUGGAAUUAAGGUACUGCUGGGGACCACGGAAACGAGUAGUGGCGAGGAUUUCACUAU